CCAGUUCCAGAGCAAGUGGCACAAAGCAAUGCACCUUUCGCUUCACAACAAAUGCAACGCUUAUUAUCACCAAUCUCUCUCUCGGACAUAGAUAAUCCAACUGGCUCAUCGAUGAUCUCUUCAGGUAUGGGCUUGUCGUAACAGAACAUUGACUCGAGACUGCUUAACUGUCUGUUCACAUCUCUUUUUACACAUGACUCAGCCUACAUAAUUUAAACAAACAAUGAUUCUUAUUAAUGCUAGUACUCGUAAUCAUCAUCAUCAUCAUCAAACAAGUCAUGACAUUUAGAAUCUGCAUCAUUUCAGAUGCAGAUAAUUUGAAAUAAUUUGAAAUUACUGAUGAUAUUAGUUAAUUCGUAAUCCAAAUUGAGUGUUCCACAUGAAUGAAACAUAAAUCUCAGCAGAAGGAGAGAUAUUAACCUUGAGAGACGAAGAAGGAGGAGGAAGAGAGCACACUUUUACGCGGGAACCGAAUAAUCUAGGAGAAGGAAUCACGCGUCGAGUUCUUCCGCCGAUAAAACUCGGUUUCGCCGGAAAAGCAAAAUCUAAAGCGGUAUUCAUCGUCGACGAGAGCGAGAUUUCGAAAUCGAAUAGAGAGAUGAAGAAGGUGAGUGAUGAUGAUUAGCUUUGGAACCAUCGCCGGUCAUAGGUCUUGUUGUUCGCAAUAACCGAACUAUACCGACAAUGGUAUCCGGUUAUCUAAAUCGAGCAUAUAUCGCUACUCGUAAUAUUAUUUAAACCGAACGAUAAUGGGCCGUUGUAAAUAUGGGCUAUAUCUUCUGGCCCAAUAGAACCUGCGAUAAAACGAAAACUUGGAGAAGAUAUGGUAGCUCCUUCUCUAAUCCGAAGCUAGAGGCUCUCAUACUCACUUCAACUGCAAGCAGAAAGAUAAGGCGAAACAAUGUCUGUGUCAGCGAUCUUUGGCACCGGAAUCGCCACAGUCGGUUGUUCCCCGGCUCUCCGCCAGUUUCAAGUUCCGAAACUGGGAAACGGAGGAGGAGUGGGAGGAGGAUUGGGGAUGGUGAUAGAGUGUUCGUCGAGGCCGCAGAAGAAAUCGACGGCUCAUCACAGGAAGACGAGGCCGAAGAAGACGCAGCCUUGGGACAUUAAGAGGAAGCCCACCGUUUACGCUCCUCUUCCUCCUCUCCCGCCGGAUUGGUCUCCUCUCGCUCUUUCUUCCGACGACGCACACAAAUCACCUUUUUUUUUCUUCCCGUCUCACUCUUGUGUUUUUUCUUCGUGUUUGAUUCUUCCUCUUCGAAUCAUCGUCUUCGAUUUUUCCUCUUCGAGUCCUCGUCUUCGAUUCUUCCUCUUCGUGUUCGAUUCUUCUUCCUCGUCUUCGUUCUUCUUCAAUUUUUUUUCGAUUCUUCACCAACUUCUGAUUUCAUCAUCUCUUAAGAUUUGAUUUUUCGUGAUUUGUGUUAUGGGUUUUCACUAUUAGCUACUGAUUCGUAUCAUCUACUAAUAUUGUGUUAUGGUUUAUGUGUUAAAUAGAUCGGUGAUUUGUGUUCAUAACGAAGUUGGUGGCGAGUCUGGCGACUGUUUCUGUUUCCGCAAGUCAGACGAAAUUACGAAUUUUUUAAACUUAUCUUGAAUUUUUUAUAACUUUGAAACAUGAAGUUUAAAACUUAAAGUUUAAGUAUGUGACAUCUUUAAAAUUGAAAACUUAAUAAUCUUUAAAUUUUUAAAACUGAAAUUAUGUUGUUUACAUUAAAUGGGCGUAUGGGCCGCCCAUGGAUAGCCCAACAAAUCAUGGUCUUAUUUGGUUAUGGUCGCAUUUGGACAUGGUUCUAUUUGGGCUUCGACCAAAAAUAUCCAGCAAAAAAAUGAAACCCAUUCGGACACACCCAAACCCGCCCAACCCGCCCAUUUGACAUCUCUAAAUGCUUUCAUCAUCCAAUACUUCGGGGUAAUAUCUCACUAUCAAAUUGGAGGAAGAAGAAUCAAAACGGCUUUAGUAUGUUACCUCAGGGGAGAGUUUCUUGGGCUGCUGCAAUGAUGUGUAUUGGGUUACUAUGUAGCUUAUUCUGAGGAUCCAUAUAGCCAUAACUCUUACAACACAAUUCCAAAACAUAUUAUGCGACAAGAUAUAGAAAAGACAAAAAGACUAGCUGAGUGCGAGAGAAAGAACAUGAAAUAACAUACACAAGAACAUAUCAAAUUAAUACAAGAAAAUACCUUUUUAUUGCUUUUCAAUUUCACUGUGGCUUUUUCAAGCUUGAGAGUGGAUGUUCUUCAGCUUCCUAUGCAAAAUGCACUUAGAGAAAGAAUGUACAUACAUAAGUGAAACGACGACUGAUUCAAUUCUCAUCCUAACUCUACUUUACUUUCUUUCCCUCAGUUUUCAUUGUCUAUAUCUGAAUGCAUAAACAAUCAAAAUAGCAAUAGAAGAGAGAGGGAUAACUUCUGAUUUAGUCACAGCCAUUUAGGAGAUAAUUUUUUAUACAACAAUAGAAAGAUGAAUUUAGUCUUUUACAAGAUUGUGGACUACAUCAGUACAUGAACACAAAUCUAUAAAUGGAACUGACAAAGGUAGGAUUCUGCAAUAAGAUCAGAGAAGGCACAACUUAUAAAAGUGGCAAAACAAGUAAAAUGAGGACAAAACCAUGACUAAAAACAAAGUGAAACUUGGGGGUCGUUAAUGGCCCAAGUGACCACGCCCGCCACAACUUUUACACAUAAUGUUACCACUUCCACCGCAACCUACAUCAAAACAAUCAAAUUGGUUAAUACAUAACAUUAUAUAACUUGAGCAACAUAAGAAGAAAGAAAAGCAUGAUAGGAGAAUUGACCUAAGCAACGGACUUUAACAAUGAUGCCUUGGCUCUCCAUAAUGGAGUCAACGUAUAGACCAGUUCCAGAGCAAGUGGCACAAAGCAAUGCACCUUUCGCUUCACAACAAAUGCAACGCUUAUUAUCACCAAUCUCUCUCUCGGACAUAGAUAAUCCAACUGGCUCAUCGAUGAUCUCUUCAGGUAUGGGCUUGUCGUAACAGAACAUUGACUCGAGACUGCUUAACUGUCUGUUCACAUCUCUUUUUACACAUGACUCA
rnacentral:lncRNA from 1 species